AUGGACCCGACCAGGAAGAUCACGUCUUUCACCAAAUCCGACACUCGGACCCGGAACUCCCCGAAGUCGUCCGUGUCCUCGGGGAUCCCCUCCUGUCGCCAGAGGAAGCGGUCAGAGCUGAGCGGAACAGACGGUUCUGUGCGGCUCGGCCGGGCUUCUUACGUGGUCCGGGUCCAGCUGGCAGUGCCGCGCCAAACAGUGCAGGAGUCUCUGGAUGUAAGGUCUGAAGACGGAGUGGAGCGCCGGGUCGUUGAUCUUAUACAGAUGUUCUCCGAGACGGUACCAGAAGUUGAAGGAAAUCUCCACCACCUGGACCACAAACAUGCUGGACCAUCAGAACCUUCUACACCUGGACCAGAACAUAUACUGGACUAUCAGAACCUUCUACACCUGGACCGUCAGAACCUUCUACACCUGGACCGUCAGAACCUUCUACACCUGGACCAGAACACAUACUGGACCAUCAGAACCUUCUACACCUGGACCACAAACAUGCUGGACCAUCAGAACCUUCUACACCUGGACCUUCAGAACCUUCUACACCUGGACCAGAACACAUACUGGACCAUCAGAACCUUCUACACCUGGACCGUCAGAACCUUCUACACUUGGACCUUCAGAACCUUCUACACCUGGACCAUCAGAACCUUCUACACCUGGACCAGAACACAUACUGGACCAUCAGAACCUUCUACACCUGGACCAUCAGAACCUUCUACACCUGGACCACAAACAUACUGGACCAUCAGAACCUUCUACACCUGGACAACAAACAUGCUGGACCAUCAGAACCUUCUACACCUGGACCUUCAGAACCUUCUACACCUGGAUCAUCAGAACCUUCUACACCUGGACCAGAACACAUACUGGACGAUCAGAACCUUCUACACCUGGACCAUCAGAACCUUCUACACCUGGACCACAAACAUACUGGACCAUCAGAACCUUCUACACCUGGACCAUCAGAACCUUCUACACCUGGACCUUCAGAACCUUCUACACCUGGAUCAUCAGAACCUUCUACACCUGGACCAGAACACAUACUGGACCAUCAGAACCUUCUACACCUGGACCAUCAGAACCUUCUACACCUGGACCAGAACACAUACUGGACCAUCAGAACCUUCUACACCUGGACCUUCAGAACCUUCAACACCUGGACCAGAACACAUACUGGACCUUCAGAACCUUCUACACCUGGACCAGAACACAUACUGGACCAUCAGAACCUUCUACACCUGGACCAUCAGAACCUUCUACACCUGGACCUUCAGAACCUUCAACACCUGGACCAGAACACAUACUGGACCUUCAGAACCAUCUACACCUGGACCAGAACACAUACUGGACCAUCAGAACCUUCUACACCUGGACCAUCAGAACCUUCAACACCUGGACCAGAACACAUACUGGACCUUCAGAACCUUCUACACCUGGACCUUCAGAACCUUCUACACCUGGACCAGAACACAUACUGGACCUUCAGAACCUUCUACACCUGGACCAGAACACAUACUGGACCAUCAGAACCUUCUACACCUGGACCAUCAGAACCUUCUACACCUGGAUCAUCAGAACCUUCAACACCUGGACCAGAACACAUACUGGACCUUCAGAACCUUCUACACCUGGACCUUCAGAACCUUCUACACCUGGACCAUCAGAACCUUCUACACCUGGACCAGAACACAUACUGGACCUUCAGAACCUUCUACACCUGGACCUUCAGUACCUUCUACACCUGGACCUUCAGAACCUUCUACACCUGGACCAUCAGAACCUUCUACACCUGGACCAUCAGAACCUUCUACACCUGGACCUUCAGAACCUUCAACACCUGGACCAUCAGAACCUUCUACACCUGGACCAGAACACAUACUGGACCAUCAGAACCUUCUACACCUGGACCAUCAGAACCUUCUACAACUGGACCAGAACACAUACUGGACCUUCAGAACCUUCUACACCUGGACCUUCAGAACCUUCUACACCUGGACCAUCAGAACCUUCUACACCUGGACCAGAACACAUACUGGACCUUCAGAACCUUCUACACCUGGACCUUCAGAACCUUCUACACCUGGACCAUCAGAACCUUCUACACCUGGACCAGAACACAUACUGGACCUUCAGAACCUUCUACACCUGGACCUUCAGAACCUUCUACACCUGGACCUUCAGAACCUUCUACACCUGGACCAUCAGAACCUUCUACACCUGGACCAGAACAUAUACUGGACCAUCAGAACCUUCUACACCUGGACCAUCAGAACCUUCUACACCUGGACCACAAACAUACUGGACCUUCAGAACCUUCUACACCUGGACCUUCAGAACCUUCUACACCUGGACCAUCAGAACCUUCUACACCUGGACCAGAACACACACUGGACCAUCAGAACCUUCUACACCUGGACCAGAACACAUACUGGACCUUCAGAACCUUCUACACCUGGACCUUCAGAACCUUCUACACCUGGACCAUCAGAACCUUCUACACCUGGACCUUCAGAACCUUCAACACCUGGACCUUCAGAACCUUCUACACCUGGACCUUCAGAACCUUCUAUACCUGGACCAUCAGAACCUUCUACACCUGGACCAUCAGAACCUUCUACACCUGGACCUUCAGAACCUUCAACACCUGGACCUUCAGCACCUUCUACACCUGGACCUUCAGAACCUUCUACACCUGGACCUUCAGAACCUUCUACACCUGGACCAUCAGAACCUUUCAUAUUUGUACGGUCUUCAAAACAAAAGAAUUCAGUAAAAAGACUUCCUGCAAAAAAGAUUUAA
rnacentral:lncRNA from 1 species